CAGUAGCCGCGGUAAUACGUAGGGUGCGAGCGUUAAUCGGAAUUACUGGGCGUAAGGCGUGCGCAGGCGGUUAUAUAAGACAGAUGUGAAAUCCCCGGGCUCAACCUGGGACCUGCAUUUGUGACUGUAUAGCUAGAGUACGGUAGAGGGGGAUGGAAUUCCGCGUGUAGCAGUGAAAUGCGUAGAUAUGCGGAGGAACACCGAUGGCGAAGGCAAUCCCCUGGACCUGUACUGACGCUCAUGCACGAAAGCGUGGGGAGCAAACAGGAUUAGAUACCCCCGUAGUCCCUGUCUCUUAUAC
rnacentral:rRNA from 1 species